rnacentral:rRNA from 1 species
UGGGGAAUAUUGCACAAUGGGCGAAAGCCUGAUGCAGCAACGCCGCGUGAGUGAUGAAGGCCUUCGGGUCGUAAAACUCUGUCCUCAAGGAAGAUAAUGACGGUACUUGAGGAGGAAGCCCCGGCUAACUACGUGCCAGCAGCCGCGGUAAUACGUAGGGGGCUAGCGUUAUCCGGAUUUACUGGGCGUAAAGGGUGCGUAGGUGGUUUUUUAAGUCAGGAGUGAAAGGCUACGGCUCAACCGUAGUAAGCUCUUGAAACUGGAAAACUUGAGUGCAGGAGAGGAAAGUGGAAUUCCUAGUGUAGCGGUGAAAUGCGUAGAUAUUAGGAGGAACACCAGUAGCGAAGGCGGCUUUCUGGACUGUAACUGACACUGAGGCACGAAAGCGUGGGGAGCAAACAG